UUGCCCCAGUAACGGCGAGUGAAGCGGCAAGAGCUCAAAUUUGAAAGCUGGCUCCUUCGGGGUCCGCAUUGUAAUUUGCAGAGGAUGCUUCGGGAGCGGCCCCCAUCUAAGUGCCCUGGAACGGGCUGUCAUAGAGGGUGAGAAUCCCGUCUGGGAUGGGGUGCCCGCGCCCGUGUGAAGCUCCUUCGACGAGUCGAGUUGUUUGGGAAUGCAGCUCUAAAUGGGUGGUAAAUUUCAUCUAAAGCUAAAUAUUGGCCGGAGACCGAUAGCGCACAAGUAGAGUGAUCGAAAGAUGAAAAGCACUUUGAAAAGAGAGUUAAAAAGCACGUGAAAUUGUUGAAAGGGAAGCGUUUGCGACCAGACUCGCCUACGGGGUUCAGCCUGCCUUCGGGCAGGUGUACUUCCCCGUGGGCGGGCCAGCGUCGGUUUGGGCGGCCGGUCAAAGGCCCUCGGAAUGUAACGCCUCUCGGGGCGUCUUAUAGCCGAGGGUGCCAUGCGGCCUGCCCGGACCGAGGAACGCGCUUCGGCUCGGACGCUGGCUUAAUGGUCGUAAACGACCCGUCUUGAAACACGGACCAAGGAGUCUAACAUCUAUGCGAGUGUUCGGGUGUCAAACCCGUGCGCGCAGUGAAAGCGAACGGAGGUGGGAACCCUUUGGGUGCACCAUCGACCGAUCCUGAAGUCUUCGGAUGGAUUUGAGUAAGAGCAUAGCUGUUGGGACCCGAAAGAUGGUGAACUAUGCCUGAAUAGGGCGAAGCCAGAGGAAACUCUGGUGGAGGCUCGCAGCGGUUCUGACGUGCAAAUCGAUCGUCAAAUUUGGGUAUAGGGGCGAAAGACUAAUCGAACCAUCUAGUAGCUGGUUCUG
rnacentral:rRNA from 1 species